GGUUAAGCGACUAAGCGUACACGGUGGAUGCCCUGGCAGUCAGAGGCGAUGAAGGACGUGCUAAUCUGCGAAAAGCGUCGGUAAGGUGAUAUGAACCGUUAUAACCGGCGAUGUCCGAAUGGGGAAACCCAGUGUGAUUCGUCAC
rnacentral:rRNA from 2 species